rnacentral:lncRNA from 1 species
AAUUUAAAUCGAAGAACCUUUCCUUCUUUUCCAAUGUGCUAAUUUUCUUCCUUAGUACCUGAUCUGAAGUCAGCGAUCCAAAUGAUGAUCUUAACUCGGCUUCAUAGUGGACGGGUGUUUAAUAUUGUAUGAGCAACCAAAGGUUUCUCUUCUCUCUCUAGGUGGGAUGAGAGACUUGUGCUCUGCUUGUUGACUCCCGGCAUACCACAGAGGAGUGGCUCAUGGAGACGUCUAGUCUACUUGAAGACUGUAGGCUGACUCAGGGAGAAAAAAUAUGUAAUUUCUGUUCAUUUCUCCCAUCGCAUUCCUUACUUCCCCGCUUUCAGGCCACCUGCAUAUUUUACAAUUCUCCUCCCCUCACAAUUGGUGAAUGUUUAUUUCUCUUCUCUUGAGUUACGAAUGACGGAGAAGCUCGGUGUAGUUGGAUCAUUUAUUGUGUGUAAGUGUUGCUUAUGACCAAGGAUUUGAGUGACGAAGGGUUUUACUCAUUUCUAAACAUCUUCUGUUAUAAAAAUCAAAUACAUAUAUUUUUCUAUAUUACUUAUUUUCUGGAACCUCACACAGAAAUGUACUCCACUAACUUAGACUUGUAUGAAUUAACGGGAAGUACCACCACAUUUUUGCUUUUAUCCGCUCUAAUAAUAGUGAUAUCAUUCUCACAUGCCCAUUUAACUGUAAGGUCGAUAGUAGCCUUAGUUUUCCGAUAAAGACCUUUCCAGUCAUUCAUUGAUCUAUUCUUAUGCUUAAGG